rnacentral:rRNA from 1 species
CCAAUAGCGUAUAUUAAAGUUGUUGCAGUUAAAAAGCUCGUAGUUGAAUUUCGGGAUCAAUAUGCUGGUCGUGUCAUUGGUACGUACUGGUAUUAUUGAUUUCUCCCUUCUGAUGAAUCAUGAUGUCAUUAAUUUGAUGUCAUGGGGAAUCAGGACUGUUACUUUGAAAAAAUUAGAGUGUUUAAAGCAGGCUCGCGCUUGAAUACAUUAGCAUGGAAUA